GACGUAGGAUGCAAGCGUUGUCCGGAUUUAUUGGGCGUAAAGAGUUCGUAGGUGGUUUGUUAAGUCUGAUGUUAAAGACUGGGGCUCAACCUCGGGACUGCAUUGGAUACUGGCAGACUUGAGUGCGGUAGAGGCAAGGUGGAAUUCCAGGUGUAGCGGUGAAAUGCGUAGAUAUCUGGAAGAACACCGGUGGCGCAAGCGACUUGCUGGGCCGUAACUGACACUGAGGAACGAAAGCUAGGGGAGCGAAUGGG
rnacentral:rRNA from 1 species